rnacentral:lncRNA from 1 species
GUCGUCCUCGCUUCCAGCGGAUCGUCCUGGGUGCGCCUCCAAGUGCUGUCAGUCGUCCUCUGCCCCUCCCACCCGACUGACUUCCUUCUGUUAGACUUGAGCUGUGUUCACAUAACAUCUUCUGUCUGUAGAGUGUGAUGAUGACAUUGUUACUUGUGAAUAGAAUCAGGAGUUAGAAACUCAUUUUUAAUUGAAGAAAAAAAAAGUAUAUCCUUAAAAAGAAAAAAAAAAAAACAAAUGUAUUUAUGGCUCUGAUUACUGUGCCUGGGAUUAACGUACUGCUUCCUUGAUUGUUUAACUAUGCACUGUCACGAGGUGUUUGCUACUGAGCUGCGCUGCUGCUUCCCUGGUCCAUGUAGUCCUGGAGAUACUGGGUGGCUUCUAAGUCCCCAGGAAAGAGGGGCUUGCCGUCACAGGUGUGAAGAAGAGAGAGGUGUCUAGGGAUCUUCUACCAAGUCCUGGUGUCUUUUGAGUGAGUUCCACUCGAGCUGUAACGAGAAUCCCUUCCCCCUGUCUACCCACACUUGGAGGGCACCUGUUUUUAGUGCUCAGAACCUUGAGUGCCUGUAGGGAAGGUGGGGUAAGCUAUGUUAGACCCAUUCCACGGGGAAAGAGGAUAUAGUGCCCUGAGAGGUGAACUGUGAAAUGUGCUGCCCAAGGUCUCACGGCAGAGCAGUGAGCCACCUCUAGCCUCCUGACUGCUGGCCCCAGCCUGCGGCAGUAGUUAGCCUAAAGAUGCAAAAGUCAGAGACUGGAGGAGUGGAAUUAGCUAAAUUGAGCAAUAGGCUAGAAGCCUAAUAGCUCACUUGAGAAUUGGGCCACCAGUUGACUCACCAGCAUUAAGGCAAAUUCAAGUUUCAGCACAGACUCAGGUGUCCCUGAGCUUCGAUCCUCGGUGUCCUGCGACUUAUCCUGCCUGUGGAUACCCCUCAAGGUUCUGAGAUCCCUGCAAGCGGUGCACAGACUUCACCUAGGGGCUGUCCUUUGCGGGCAGGGAGGGCAACUAGCAGCCCAUUCCGAUAUCCUACAGUGUCCCUGCCUGCCCCUCCUCUGUAAAGUUAGAGUUGCCGAGUGAGGGGUUGUACAGGUUGGGGGUGUGGACAAGGCACUCCCAAGGAGCAUUCACAGUGAGCUCCUCUUGACCCCGUUCUUGACUACUGUCAAAGCCAUAUCCAGUGUGACAUUCUCUGGGUCCCCAGGGGCCCUUCUCGAGGGAGAGCCGGCUCUAUGGGCAGAGUAUCAGCUCUAAUGCUUCAUAUAGAUCAGUUCCUCCUUGGUCUUGUGACAUUUUCUCUCUUUCUCCCCCUCUCCAUCCAUUCAUUCAUUGUUCUGCCAAAUAAGAAAGUUUGAUUAAUCAGCUGCUAAUGACAGGCUUAUUCCUUUGAUAAUUGGUGGUUAAUUUUUUUUUUUAAGAUUAUCAAGUACCUCAGUAGAGAAAGUGAGCCAUGAUCUUGUGCUUGGUGUUGGGAAAAGUCUUCACCUAUAGAUAAGGAGGCUGGCUCUAGCAGAAAUAGGGGAACAGAGAAUCUGUGUGUGAGAUAGAUCCCUUGGCCUCCCUAAACCCCAGGUUCCCUUUCUGUGAAAUGGACUGAGGAGCAAAUUAGACAGCAAGAAGUCUUAGCAGCUACUCAGGCAGUACAUAGUCACGCCUCCCCCCACCCCCCCCCCAUACACACACACAUCCUUGGGAUGCAAACAUAGUUAAUUGAUCAUAAACACUAAUUUUUUUGAGCCUGGUCGUGCUCUUAGAAUACACAGUGCUCUAGGCAGGCAUUAUUAAUUGGUCGGUGUUUUAACUGAUUUGACAUCCUGUUCUAAUCUUUGGAAGACUAUCAUUGUAGAGCCAUAUGCUGGCUGGUUUUUAUGCUGGCCGUUCCUGUCAUAACCUGAUCC